rnacentral:rRNA from 1 species
GUACUGAGACACGGACCAGACUCCUACGGGAGGCAGCAGUGAGGAAUAUUGGGCAAUGGAGGCAACUCUGACCCAGCCAUGCCGCGUGCAGGGAGACUGCCCUAUGGGUUGUAAACUGCUUUUAUACAGGAAGAAACAGCUCUACGUGUAGAGCCUUGACGGUACUGUAAGAAUAAGGAUCGGCUAACUCCGUGCCAGCAGCCGCGGUAAUACGGAGGAUCCAAGCGUUAUCCGGAAUCAUUGGGUUUAAAGGGUCCGUAGGUGGAUUAAUAAGUCAGAGGUGAAAUCCUGCAGCUCAACUGUAGAACUGCCUUUGAUACUGUUAAUCUUGAGUCAUUAUGAAGUGGUUAGAAUGUGUAGUGUAGCGGUGAAAUGCAUAGAUAUUACACAGAAUACCGAUUGCGAAGGCAGAUCACUAAUAAUGUACUGACACUGAGGGACGAAAGCGUGGGGAGCGAACAGGAUUAGAUACCCUGGUAGUCCACGCCGUAAACGAUGGUCACUAGCUGUUCGGACUUCGGUCUGAGUGGCUAAGCGAAAGUGAUAAGUAUCCCACCUGGGGAGUACGUUCGCAAGAAUGAAACUCAAAUGAAUUGACGGGG